rnacentral:rRNA from 1 species
CAGCCGCCGCGGUAAUAUGUAGGUCCCGAGCGUUGUCCGGAUUUAUUGGGCGUAAAGCGAGCGCAGGCGGUUAGAUAAGUCUGAAGUUAAAGGCUGUGGCUUAACCAUAGUACGCUUUGGAAACUGUUUAACUUGAGUGCAGAAGGGGAGAGUGGAAUUCCAUGUGUAGCGGUGAAAUGCGUAGAUAUAUGGAGGAACACCGGUGGCGAAAGCGGCUCUCUGGUCUGUAACUGACGCUGAGGCUCGAAAGCGUGGGGAGCGAACAGGAUUAGAUACCCCCGUAGUCCCUGUCUCUUAUACA